rnacentral:antisense_RNA from 1 species
AGCCAUACCAGCGCCUAAUGCAAUCACUGAUGUCAACAUUUUAUUCAUAUUAUUUUUCACCCCAUCCGAAAAAUUAAAUUAAAGACUUAAACGGCGAAUUUCUUCAUCGAACAAAUCAUCCAGAGAGCUUAAUGAUCCAUCUUCCUCGACUUGAUGGGUAUUAAUCAUAUUUUUUGAAACGGACAACUCUAUAAAGCAGUUCCAGCAAUAAUAUUGGUUAAUACCUAUUUUUCCAAUAUCUUUACUCUGGCAAUUCGGACACUUUAACAUGGGAC